UACGGGGGGGGCAAGCGUUGUUCGGAAUUACUGGGCGUAAAGGGCUCGUAGGCGGCCAACUAAGUCGGACGUGAAAUCCCUCGGCUUAACCUGGGAACUGCGUCCGAUACUGGAUGGCUUGAGUGUGGGAGAGGGAUGCGGAAUUCCAGGUGUAGCGGUGAAAUGCGUAGAUAUCUGGAGGAACACCGGUGGCGAAGGCGGCAUCCUGGACCACGACUGACGCUGAGGAGCGAAAGCCAGGGGAGCAAACGGG
rnacentral:rRNA from 1 species